GGUCUUCUGAUUUUUUGAAGGGUGAGGGAAAGCUCCUGUCUGACUCAACCGUCGCAUUCUUUUGAGUUUUGGGUCUUACCAUCAGCGGCUGGAUUGUAUUGUGUAGCUUGUGCCUGCUUUAUCUGUGGUUCCCCUUCCCUUUGUGUUGGGGAGUCUGCUUAGCUUUGUACUUGAUGGGCAGUGCUCUGGCCUGUUUGUUGUUUGCUGCAGCAGUUGCACUUGGUUUGCAUGGUUGGGGAGAAUGCUGCAGCACUGUGGGGCUGUUCCACCAUAAUUUGAAUGGAUGGAUGGUUGCUUUUGGUUGGUGACUUGGUGUAUUCAAUUUGGGCAGCCAGUUUGUAUAGUCCUGUUUUUGGAUAGGUUUACAAUAGGUCCCAGCUGGAGAUUCCAUGAAAAAUAUCCAAAAGUCUAAGCAGGUGCAUUCUGAAGGUGAGUUUACUCGGCCAAUGCUGUUGUGCUGAGCAGUUGGUAAUGGGCUGCGUAGGGGGCUCUGUUCUGGAUUGAAGUAUGGGAGUUGGUUGCAGGGGAGUGUUGAGCUGCUCUGUUGAUUCUAAUUAGUAGGGAUGGCUAAGCUGAGUGUCUGCUGAUACUGUGUAGGGAGAAAUAAGCCAAAGGAGGCUCGUCCUGUUGAUCCGUUUAUGGUUUGUUGAGGCAGGCAAUCUGCUUAAUAAGGAUGUCGAUCUGGUAGUAGUAGCACUUCUUUCGCUUCAGCUGUCUUCUUUGGGUCUCUUCGGUGUAGGUUUCCUGUGCUGUUUGGAACUUUUUUUCUGAGGCCAUUUGUGAUUCUUUUCAUGUGGUUUGGGGGCUGCACUAGCUCUGUUUUGUUUUCUAAGAAUCAGGCAUAUGGUUUUCUGUAAUGUUUGUUUUGGUCA